rnacentral:rRNA from 1 species
AUUGAACGCUGGCGGCAGGCCUAACACAUGCAAGUCGAACGAGUGGCGGACGGGUGAGUAAUGUCUGGACACCUGCCCGAUGGAGGGGGAUAACUGCUGGAAACGGUAGCUAAUACCGCAUACCAUCGGAUGUGCCCAGAUGGGAUUAGCUAGUCGGUGGGGUAACGGCUCACCUAGGCGACGAUCCCUAGCUGGUCUGAGAGGAUGACCAGCCACACUGGAACUGAGACACGGUCCAGACUCCUACGGGAGGCAGCAGUGGGGAAUAUUGCACAAUGGGCGAAAGCCUGAUGCAGCCAUGCCGCGUGUAUGAAGAAGGUUUUCGGGUUGUAAAGCACUGUCAUCGAGGAGGCGUUACUCGCAGAAGAAGCAACGGCUAACUCCGUGCCAGCAGCCGCGGUAAUUC